UGGGGAAUUUUGGACAAUGGGGGCAACCCUGAUCCAGCAAUGCCGCGUGUGUGAAGAAGGCCUGCGGGUUGUAAAGCACUUUAAGUGUGGAGAAAGGCUUAUGUGUUAAUAGUACAUAAGAUUGAUGUUACACACAGAAUAAGCACCGGCUAACUCUGUGCCAGCAGCCGCGGUAAUACAGAGGGUGCAAGCGUUAAUCGGAAUUACUGGGCGUAAAGCGCAUGUAGGUGGGUAUGCAAGUUUGAUGUGAAAGCCCUGGGCUUAACCUGGGAAUGGCGUUGAAGACUGUGUAUCUAGAGUUUGACAGAGGGUCGUGGAAUUUCCGGUGUAGCGGUGAAAUGCGUAGAGAUCGGAAAGAACACCAGCGGCGAAGGCGGCGACCUGGGUCAAAACUGACACUGAGAUGCGAAAGCGUGGGGAGCAAACAG
rnacentral:rRNA from 1 species